rnacentral:rRNA from 1 species
UUGGAGGGCAAGUCUGGUGCCAGCAGCCGCGGUAAUUCCAGCUCCAAUAGCGUAUAUUAAAGUUGUUGCAGUUAAAAAGCUCGUAGUUGAAUUUCGGGAUUAGUACGUUGGUCGUGCCUUCGGUACGUACUGGUGUUACUGAUUCCUACCUUCUGACGAACCAUCAUGUCAUUAAUUUGGUGUGGUGGGGAAUCAGGACUGUUACUUUGAAAAAAUUAGAGUGUUUAAAGCAGGCUCGCGCUUGAAUACAUUAGCAUGGAAUAAUGAAAUAGGACGUUGAUCCUAUUUUGUUGGUUUCUAGGAUUGACGUAAUGAUUAAUAGGGAUAGUUGGGGGCAUUAGUAUUCAAUUGUCAGAGGUGAAAUUCUUGGAUUUAUUGAAGACUAACUACUGCGAAAGCAUUUGCCAAGGAUGUUUUCAUUAAUCAAGAACGAAAGUUAGGGGAUCGAAGACGAUCAGAUACCGUCGUAGUCUUAACCAUAAACUAUGCCGACUAGGGAUCGGAUGAUGUUAUUUUUAAUGACUCAUUCGGCGCCUUACGGGAAAC